rnacentral:rRNA from 1 species
AGUACGUGGUCGUAGACCCGAAACCAGGUGAUCUACCCAUGUCCAGGGUGAAGUUCAGGUAACACUGAAUGGAGGCCCGAACCCACGCACGUUGAAAAGUGCGGGGAUGAGGUGUGGGUAGCGGAGAAAUUCCAAUCGAACCUGGAGAUAGCUGGUUCUCCCCGAAAUAGCUUUAGGGCUAGCCUUAAGUGUAAGAGUCUUGGAGGUAGAGCACUGAUUGGACUAGGGGUCCUCAUCGGAUUACCGAAUUCAGUCAAACUCCGAAUGCCAAUGACUUAUCCUUAGGAGUCAGACUGCGAGUGAUAAGAUCCGUAGUCAAAAGGGAAACAGCCCAGACCGCCAGCUAAGGUCCCAAAGUGUGUAUUAAGUGGAAAAGGAUGUGGAGUUGCUUAGACAACUAGGAUGUUGGCUUAGAAGCAGCCACCAUUUAAAGAGUGCGUAAUAGCUCACUAGUCGAGUGACUCUGCGCCGAAAAUGUACCGGGGCUAAAUACACCACCGAAGCUGCGGAUUGAUACCAAUGGUAUCAGUGGUAGGGGAGCGUUCUAAGGACAGUGAAGUCAGACCGGAAGGACUGGUGGAGUGCUUAGAAGUGAGAAUGCCGGUAUGAGUAGCGAAAGACGGGUGAGAAUCCCGUCCACCGAAUGCCUAAGGUUUCCUGAGGAAGGCUCGUCCGCUCAGGGUUAGUCAGGACCUAAGCCGAGGCCGACAGGCGUAGGCGAUGGACAACAGGUUGAUAUUCCUGUACCACCUCUUUAUCGUUUGAGCAAUGGAGGGACGCAGAAGGAUAGAAGAAGCGUGCGAUUGGUUGUGCACGUCCAAGCAGUUAGGCUGAUAAGUAGGCAAAUCCGCUUAUCGUGAAGGCUGAGCUGUGAUGGGGAAGCUCCUUAUGGAGCGAAGUCUUUGAUUCCCCGCUGCCAAGAAAAGCUUCUAGCGAGAUAAAAGGUGCCUGUACCGCAAACCGACACAGGUAGGCGAGGAGAGAAUCCUAAGGUGUGCGAGAGAACUCUGGUUAAGGAACUCGGCAAAAUGACCCCGUAACUUCGGGAGAAGGGGUGCUUUCUUAACGGAAAGCCGCAGUGAAUAGGCCCAAGCGACUGUUUAGCAAAAACACAGCUCUCUGCGAAGCCGUAAGGCGAAGUAUAGGGGGUGACACCUGCCCGGUGCUGGAAGGUUAAGGAGAGGGGUUAGCGUAAGCGAAGCUCUGAACUGAAGCCCCAGUAAACGGCGGCCGUAACUAUAACGGUCCUAAGGUAGCGAAAUUCCUUGUCGGGUAAG